rnacentral:lncRNA from 1 species
AUUCUAGAACAUUCUAGAAACGUGAUUCUUCUCCAGUGCUCUUACUUCUCCUGGGGUGGGCCACAGGUCUGAAUACCCCCUCUUCCUGUUUGCCUUGCUGCUGCAUCCAAGAGGCUUUGGGAGCCUCCCUCCUCCUGAAAGCCCCCCUGGCUAGACCUGCCCCAUUCAAGUUCAUUUCUCCCACCCUCGAGGGAGAGCUCAAGUGUGUGCCUCUAUCUCCUGCAAAGAAAACUGAAUUCCAUUUAAGGGUUUGGCCUACACCAAUGAGUCCACAUUUGGAGUGGGGUGUCACAAGGACUUGGUGCUGAGUUGGCUCCUCUGUGAUCUCCUGCGGCACACACUCCACGCCAGGCCCUUGGCCAUCAUUUUAAACACACGAUGGGUGACAGACCACCUGGCUGAUGUGUGGACGACCCUAAAAUUCUUAUUUACCGAGUCCAGGAGCCAGAAUUCUUCCCUGUUGCUCCCAAGCCUGCCCUGCCCUCCCCGCACCUUCCCCAGGCCCUCCUAGCAUACCUGCUGUUACGGCUCAUCUUCAUUGAUUUGCCUGGUGGGGGAAGGAAAAGCAACAGAACACUCCGAGUCUGCACUG